UACGGGGGGGGGCAAGCGUUGUUCGGAAUUACUGGGCGUAAAGGGCUCGUAGGCGGCCAACUCAGUCGGACGUGAAAUCCCCUCGGCUUAACCGGGGAACUGCGUCCGAUACUGGAUGGCUUGAGUGUGGGAGAGGGAUGCGGAAUUCCAGGUGUAGCGGUGAAAUGCGUAGAUAUCUGGAGGAACACCGGUGGCGAAGGCGGCAUCCUGGACCACGACUGACGCUGAGGAGCGAAAGCCAGGGGAGCAAACGGG
rnacentral:rRNA from 1 species